AUUCUUUCAGUUCAUAAAGUGUGUUCAUGCUGUGUGCAUGAUGUGUGCUGCCCACUAAACCUUGUUACGACAUGGGCACAUUGACCCACCUGACA
ensembl:snoRNA LOC120093483 small nucleolar RNA U13